CAGCUCUCCGAGUGGUAGGGAUGAUUAUUGGGCCUAAAGCAUCCGUAGCCGGCUCUGUAAGUUUUCGGUUAAAUCUGUACGCUCAACGUACAGGCUGCCGGGAAUACUGCAGAGCUAGGGAGUGGGAGAGGUAGACGGUACUCGGUAGGAAGGGGUAAAAUCCUUUGAUCUAUUGAUGACCACCUGUGGCGAAGGCGGUCUACCAGAACACGUCCGACGGUGAGGGAUGAAAGCUGGGGGAGCAAACCGGAUUAGAGACCCGAGUAGUCC
rnacentral:rRNA from 1 species